rnacentral:rRNA from 1 species
AACGAACGCUGGCGGCAGGCCUAACACAUGCAAGUCGAGCGAGAUCUUCGGGUCUAGCGGCGGACGGGUGAGUAACGCGUGGGAAUAUGCCUCUUGGUACGGAAUAGCCUCGGGAAACUGGGAGUAAUACCGUAUGUGCCCUUUGGGGGAAAGAUUUAUCGCCAAGAGAUUAGCCCGCGUUGGAUUAGGUAGUUGGUGGGGUAAUGGCCUACCAAGCCGACGAUCCAUAGCUGGUUUGAGAGGAUGAUCAGCCACACUGGGACUGAGACACGGCCCAGACUCCUACGGGAGGCAGCAGUGGGGAAUCUUAGACAAUGGGGGCAACCCUGAUCUAGCCAUGCCGCGUGAGUGAUGAAGGCCUUAGGGUUAUAAAGCUCUUUCAGCUGGGAAGAUAAUGACGGUACCAGCAGAAGAAGCCCCGGCUAACUCCGUG